AUUUUAAAGGAAGUUUUCGGAUGGAAUUUGAAAUGACUGAGCGGCGGACGGGUGAGUAACGCGUGGGUAACCUGCCUCAUACAGGGGGAUAACAGUUAGAAAUGACUGCUAAUACCGCAUAAGCGCACAGUACCGCAUGGUACGGUGUGAAAAACUCCGGUGGUGUGAGAUGGAUCCGCGUCUGAUUAGUUAGUUGGCGGGGUAACGGCCCACCAAGACAGCGAUCAGUAGCCGACCUGAGAGGGUGACCGGCCACAUUGGGACUGAGACACGGCCCAAACUCC
rnacentral:rRNA from 1 species